GGGGGGGGGAGGAGAGAGAGGGUGUAGCGCGGAUGCGAAUACUAAUAAUGGAAAACGUGCUUUCUCUGUUUCAGAUGACAUAGAAUGGGUUGGGUGGCGCUAGGGCGGUGUGCGGGUGGUGGCGGCCGCCUCUCGUCCGUCCUCUCGCUGUCUCUCACCUCCCUCGCAAGCUCCCUCAUCUUCACCAUCCUCUGUAUCCUCACACUUGCCCUCACUCUUGUCACCCUCGUGCGUGCCGAGGACAUGUACGUAUUAUCGAAUACGCGCACACACAACACGUAUACACACAUGAUAAUUAACCAAUCUGUUCGAUUCGACUUCGUCCAAGCUACUUCUCUUAACUUCCCGAUACGAUAUUUAAUAAACGAAGCAAAACGCGCAAGUUUGGUUAAGUCUUGCUUAGCACCGUCGAACGGAUCUGUUCGAUCGAUAAGUUCGAAGUUUCUUUACCAUGGAAUGUUUGGUAUCGAGAAGGGAAGAGGUCGCUACUAAUAGAGUGUAGAACAUUGUGUUGCUUGUGAUAGGAUCGAGAGGGCGACAUUAUAUAGCGAUUUGUUAGAGUGUUAUAUUCGAUGAUUAAGAUUUGAUCAAUUCGUGCAUGGAAAUAGAAUAGAGGAAGGGGGUGACGGGCAAGUUCUAUCUUUUCUAUAUAUCUUUCCUUUCCUGGAGAGAAGAAUCGAAAAGAGAAUUGAACGGAAAAGAGGGAGCCUUGUUCGUCACCCUUGGAAAUAGAGGUCGCCGCUACUAAUGUCGCCUAGAUUUCAUGUUCUGAAGGCUCUUACUAUUACUUGUUUUUUUUUUACAUUCGAUUAUUGUGCAAACUUGUCUUCGUUUUAUUAUUAAUCGUGGGACGCCGGUCGUGAAGGAAGCGAGAAAGUGUUCGCUUUAACUUUUCGGAUCGUAAACUUCAUUUAAUCGUCGUCGUCGUCGUCGUCGUCGUAAAGUUAAAUCCUUUACGUGUCUUUUACGAUCUUUUGAUUCGAUCCGAUCGAAUUUGACGAAAUAUAAUCGGAACGAAUAACUUUUCUCGCCUCGAUCGGCGUCCUAUUCGUUCGAUUGCAUCGUACGUCGUUUAGUAUAUCGUGUAGACAAGUUUGGAUUCCUAGUUUGUGAUCGCGAUGUAGUCACGAUCGAAGCAACGGAACAGUUAAUUAAUUAGCGUGUUGCAAAGAGAUAUAUAUAUAUAUAUACAUAUAAUAUAA